rnacentral:rRNA from 1 species
CUGAUGGAUGGACCCGCGGUGCAUUAGCUAGUUGGUGAGGUAACGGCUCACCAAGGCCACGAUGCAUAGCCGACCUGAGAGGGUGAUCGGCCACAUUGGGACUGAGACACGGCCCAAACUCCUACGGGAGGCAGCAGUAGGGAAUCUUCGGCAAUGGACGAAAGUCUGACCGAGCAACGCCGCGUGAGUGAAGAAGGUUUUCGGAUCGUAAAACUCUGUUGUUAGAGAAGAACAAGGAUGAGAGUAACUGUUCAUCCCUUGACGGUAUCUAACCAGAAAGCCACGGCUAACUACGUGCCAGCAGCCGCGGUAAUACGUAGGUGGCAAGCGUUGUCCGGAUUUAUUGGGCGUAAAGCGAGCGCAGGCGGUUUCUUAAGUCUGAUGUGAAAGCCCCCGGCUCAACCGGGGAGGGUCAUUGGAAACUGGGAGACUUGAGUGCAGAAGAGGAGAGUGGAAUUCCAUGUGUAGCGGUGAAAUGCGUAGAUAUAUGGAGGAACACCAGUGGCGAAGGCGGCUCUCUGGUCUGUAACUGACGCUGAGGCUCGAAAGCGUGGGGAGCAAACAGGAUUAGAUACCCUGGUAGUCCACGCCGUAAACGAUGAGUGCUAAGUGUUGGAGGGUUUCCGCCCUUCAGUGCUGCAGCUAACGCAUUAAGCACUCCGCCUGGGGAGUACGACCGCAAGGUUGAAACUCAAAGGAAUUGACGGGGGCCCGCACAAGCGGUGGAGCAUGUGGUUUAAUUCGAAGCAACGCGAAGAACCUUACCAGGUCUUGACAUCCUUUGACCACUCUAGAGAUAGAGCUUCCCCUUCGGGGGCAAAGUGACAGGUGGUGCAUGGUUGUCGUCAGCUCGUGUCGUGAGAUGUUGGGUUAAGUCCCGCAACGAGCGCAACCCUUAUUGUUAGUUGCCAUCAUUCAGUUGGGCACUCUAGCAAGACUGCCGGUGACAAACCGGAGGAAGGUGGGGAUGACGUCAAAUCAUCAUGCCCCUUAUGACCUGGGCUACACACGUGCUACAAUGGGAAGUACAACGAGUCGCGAAGUCGCGAGGCUAAGCUAAUCUCUUAAAGCUUCUCUCAGUUCGGAUUGCAGGCUGCAACUCGCCUGCAUGAAGCCGGAAUCGCUAGUAAUCGCGGAUCAGCACGCCGCGGUGAAUACGUUCCCGGGCCUUGUACACACCGCCCGUCACACCACGAGAGUUUGUAACACCCGAAGUCGGUGAGGUAACCUUUUGGAGCCAGCCGCCUAAGGUGGGAUAGAUGAUUGGGGUGAAGUCGUAACAAGGUAGCCGUAUCGGAAGGUGCGGCUGGAUCACCU